AUGUCCAUCUCCCGGCAAGCUUUCACCGGCGGUGUCUCGUCGCGUGGAUUUCUGCUGCACCCGUGGUUGCAAGGCCACGAAAUCCCCAUCCUGGUGGAUUCGGCUAGCUCCACGUCUUUCGUCGAUCAACAACUCGCUGUAGAGCUUGUGGCAUCGUCCCUCUGCUUCAACUGGGCGCGUGAAAGUUGCAGGCGGAGGCGGGAUCACAUGAUCAAACAGCACCCCCAUCGACCAACAAAAGGUCAUUACAUCAACGCAGAAGCAAAAGCAGCAAAAAAGGAGCCAAAGAUCUAUUCUACAGGAGCACCAAACAUCAGGUUCACCACCGCAGGAGAGACUUUCUUCAUUCAUUCAUUUCAAUCUAACCACAUUGAUCCUCCAUCCCUGCUUGGCUGUGAACAUUUUAUUUGCUGCCUGCUCUAG
rnacentral:rRNA from 1 species